UUUGUUGAAUGGGAUUUACCUCGAUUUGCGCGCAAGUCCAGCGGAUGGACGGAAGCCGUUCUAACGAAACCGAUAAAUCGUGCACCAAGAAAAUGGCAUCCGGCCAAGUUUUAAUUCGGUCCGCUGCCCUCAACCUAGGUGCCCCUCCCUCGUGAACAUUGAUAACAUCCCGUAGCCAAAUUAUAUCUAUCAUUUGCAUUCGGCACAACAACAAUUAUUGUACGGAGACCUGGCGGCGGCGAUG